UACGGAGGGAGCUAGCGUUGUUCGGAGUUACUGGGCGUAAAGGGCGCGUAGGCGGCGCACCAAGUCAGGCGUGAAAGCCCUGGGCUCAACCCGGGAAUUGCGCUUGAGACUGGUGUGCUUGAGUACGGGAGAGGAUAGUGGAAUUCCCAGUGUAGAGGUGAAAUGCGUAGAUAUCUGGAGGAACACCGGUGGCGAAGGCGGCAUUCUGGACCGAUAUUGACGCUGAGGAGCGAAAGCCAGGGGAGCAAACGGG
rnacentral:rRNA from 1 species